rnacentral:lncRNA from 1 species
UCCCCUGGAGGCUGGAGUUUCCAGGAUGUCAAAAUUACCUCUGCUUGGGUGAGCUAUUUCAAGCAGCUGGGAUACCUGUGUCACUCCUGCUGUCUGCCAGUGACUGCCCAGGUGUCUGCUGGUUCCUCCCCAGGAGUAGGGAGGAACCAGGUGGGCUGGCUGGGAUGGGUGGAUAUUUAAAGACCAGGCCUUGGACGCUGCAGCACUUCUAUCUCUGCUUGAUGCCUGCUGCCACGUGGCUGGUCCUCCUCCUCCUGCUGUGGCUGAGCCUUGGGGUGAAGACAGGCAGCUGCUCCCAACCCCAGAACCUUUGCUGUCUUGGGACGGAUCACCGCUGCAAGAGGGGAAGUUGCUACUGUGAUGAAUUCUGCCAUGUGGCACCAGACUGCCACCCAGACCACAGUGUCCUCUGCAACCCUGGUAACUCACAUACAGGCCCGAUUCCACCUACAGCAAAGCUGGAUGCGAUGGCUGGCAGAGGCAAACCCUUUGCCUGCACUUCAGGCCAAAGCCGGGAUGUGGCCUAGAUGGUUCCUAAGGUCCCUGACAAUCCUGAGAUCUUGCAUCUUGUCUAUUUCAGGUCAAAGCUUCUCAGAUGACC